GAAAUGCGAUAAGUAAUGUGAAUUGCAGAAUUCAGUGAAUCAUCGAAUCUUUGAACGCACCUUGCGCUCCUUGGUAUUCCUUGGAGCAUGCCUGUUUGAGUAUCAUGAAAUCUUCAAAGUAAAUCUUUUGUUAACUCAAUUGGUUUCUACUUUGGUAUUGGAGGUCUUUGCAGCUUCACACCUGCUCCUCUUUGUUCAUUAGCUGGAUCUCAGUGUUAUGCUUGGUUCCACUCGGCGUGAUAAGCUAUCUAUCGCUGAGGACACUGUAAAAGGUGGCCAAGGUAAUGCAGAUGAACCGCUUCUAAUAGUCCAUUGACUUGGACAAUACUUUUAUGAUCUGAUCUCAAAUCAGGUAGGACUACCCGCUGAACUUAAGC
rnacentral:misc_RNA from 1 species